rnacentral:lncRNA from 1 species
UAUGUAUUCAUCUGAAGGAAACUUUUAACAAAGGUGACAAUGGUGAAGGAAAUAAGGCAGAAUAAACAAUCUCCCAUGAUUAUUUUCAUCUUUCAUGUUAUUUUACGAUUUCAUUACAGAAGGGAAAAAUUCAUUUAUAGAAUGUUCCUGAAUGCAUUUUUGCAUCCUUGAUUUUUUUUCCCCCCUGGAUUUUUUGCCUUUAGUCUUCUAAAGUUCCAAGUGCUUUGGCACCUGCCUCCCAGGAGCCCUCCCCCGCUGCUUCUGCUGAGGCUGAUGGCAAGGUCUGUUCUGAUUCUUAAUCUAAGCCUGCAUGCCUUGUUCUCUGGUACAACAUAAUCUUCUGGAAACAAUACACUGAAUAGAAGAAUAUUAAUAUGGGAUACUGUGCUAAGGUCAGAUCACUUUAGUCUAAUAUAUAUUUUAAAAUUAUAUAACAAUGCAAUGCAUAGUUUAUAUUGUUGACAUGCUUUUGCUUGCAAUAUAGAAGAUGCACACAGAAAAAGUAAUUUAAAGAGGAAAUUAUCCUGCACUUUUUGAAUUUCAACCCAUUGGUAUUUAAAUUUUGCUUGUUAAAUUGCAUGUUUUAACAUAUCUUUUAACAGUUAAUUCAGGACAGCAGAAGAGAAACUAAAAAUGUUGCAUCUGGAGGUGGUGGGGUUGGAGAUGGUGUUCAAGAACCAACCACAGGCAACUGGAGAGGAAUGCUGAAAACUUCAAAAGCUGAAGAGUUAUUAGCAGAAGAAAAAUCAAAACCCAUUCCAAUUAUGCCAGCCAGUCCACAAAAAGGUCAUGCCGUGAACCUGCUAGAUGUGGUAAGCCAUGACAAUUUGGUUUAGGUAAUAAGGUAGGUGACCAAGUUAGUAGGAAAACGAUUAGACAGAAAGAACUAAAAGUCUCAAAAACUUACAUAACUUUCAGAUGUUAAAGCUGCCAUUUUAGUGUCACAAAAGUAAUAUUUUUUCCCCCUCAUCCCUAUUUAGCCAGUUCCUGUUGCACGAAAACUAUCUGCUCGGGAACAGCGAGAUUGUGAGGUUAUUGAACGACUCAUUAAAUCAUAUUUUCUCAUUGUCAGAAAGAAUAUUCAAGACAGUGUGCCAAAGGCAGUAAUGCAUUUUUUGGUUAAUCAUGUGAAAGACACUCUUCAGAGUGAGCUAGUAGGCCAGCUGUAUAAAUCAUCCUUAUUGGAUGAUCUUCUGACAGAAUCUGAGGACAUGGCACAGCGCAGGAAAGAAGCAGCUGAUAUGCUAAAGGCAUUACAAGGAGCCAGUCAAAUUAUUGCUGAAAUCCGGGAGACUCAUCUUUGGUGAAGAGAACUAUGUAAUACUGAGACUUUGUUGACUCAAAACUUGCUAGUUACUGCCUACCUGAGUAGAAUCUUAUUUAUGAACUCCUGUGUAUUGCAAUGGUAUGAAUCUGCUCAUGUGGAGACUGGCUAUAAACUGAAAAGUGUAUUCCAAAUUGCAGAACACAUCACACAUUU